rnacentral:misc_RNA from 1 species
GCAAACUUGGUCAUUUAGAGGAAGUAAAAGUCGUAACAAGGUCUCCGUUGGUGAACCAGCGGAGGGAUCAUUACCGAGUUUACAACUCCCAAACCCUAUGUGAACGUUACCAAACCGUUGCCUCGGCGGGGUCACGCCCCGGGCGCGUCGCAGCCCCGGAACCAAGGCGCCCGCCGGAGGGACCAACCAAACCCUUUACUGAAGUCCCCUCGCGGACGUUAUUUACUUUACAGCUCUGAGCAAAUAUUCAAAAAUGAAUCAAAACUUUCAACAACGGAUCUCUUGGUUCUGGCAUCGAUGAAGAACGCAGC